GGAGAAUAUUUGACAAUGGGCGAAAGCUUGAUCGAGUAAUGUUACGUGGGUGAUCAGAAGGCUUAAUUGCUGUAAAACUCGUUUCGUCAAGGAUUAUAAUGCAAUCGUACUUGAAGGAGAAGCCCUGACUAACUUCGUGCCAGCAGUCGCGGUAAUACGGAGAGGGCAAGUGUUAUUCGCAUUGACUGGGUGUAAAGGGUGCGUAGGUGGCUUGUUAAGUUUCAAAGUAAAGGUUAAACCUGAGGUUUAAAGGCUUUUUAAUACUAACAGGCUAGAGUUUACUAGAAGAUAGCUGAACAUUAAGUGUAAAGGUGAAAUUUUUCGAUAUUUAAAGGACAUGCAAUAGGCGAAGGCUGCUAUCUAUUUUAAUACUGACACUGAGGCACAAAAGCAUAGGGAUCA
rnacentral:rRNA from 1 species